AUUGAACGCUGGCGGCAUGCUUUACACAUGCAAGUCGAACGGUAACAGGCCGCAAGGUGCUGACGAGUGGCGAACGGGUGAGUAAUGCAUCGGAACGUGCCCAGUCGUUGGGGAUAACUACUCGAAAGAGUAGCUAAUACCGCAUACGAUCUAUGGAUGACAGCGGGGGACCGUAAGGCCUCGCGCGAUUGGAGCGGCCGAUGUCAGAUUAGGUAGUUGGUGGGGUAAAGGCUCACCAAGCCAACGAUCUGUAGCUGGUCUGAGAGGACGAGCAGCCACACUGGGACUGAGACACGGCCCAGACUACUACGGGAGGCAGAAGUGGGGAAUUUUGGACAAUGGGAGCAAGCCUGAACAAGCAAUGCCGCGUGCAGGAAGAAGGCCUUCGGGUUGUAAAAUGGAAUUGUAAGGAACGAAACGGAAGUGGUAAAAACAGGGAGGUAAUGAAGGUAACGUAAGAAUAAGCACCGGCUAACUAAGUG
rnacentral:rRNA from 1 species